GGGACAUGCCACAAUAACAAGUAGGAGUGAACUCCUACUUCAUGGUUGUGUAUCACCAUCCAUCACACACAAAAGAGACCAAAAGACAAAAAACAGAUGCCAACUUACAUGUUAUUAACUGAAAAACUACUGGGUGAGCUAAGGCACAGUAGAAUCAUUUCCCAAGAUGAGGAUACUUCAAACAUCUUUGGCUCAUCACCUCAAUACUAGUGGUAAACAUGGCUUCUGAAAAGGAAGAUACUUUCCUGCAUAUCUAGUCACAUCCCAAGAGGAGAAGCCCUAAGUACUCCCUGACAUUUAUCUUCCUUCCAGAGCCAGGAGAAACUGUAGGGUAAAUCCAGUACCCUUCUAGCCACAAGGAAGUACAGCAUCGUAUUGCAAUAUUGAAUUAAAUUCUAUAGCAAA